GCCAGACUCCUACGGGAGGCAGCAGUGGGGAAUAUUGCACAAUGGGGGAAACCCUGAUGCAGCGACGCCGCGUGAGUGAAGAAGUAUUUCGGUAUGUAAAGCUCUAUCAGCAGGGAAGAAAAUGACGGUACCUGAUUAAGAAGCCCCGGCUAACUACGUGCCAGCAGCCGCGGUAAUACGUAGGGGGCAAGCGUUAUCCGGAUUUACUGGGUGUAAAGGGAGCGUAGACGGCAGCGCAAGUCUGAAGUGAAAUGCCGGGGCUUAACCGCGGAACGGCUUUGGAAACUGUGGAACUGGAGUGCUGGAGAGGCAAGCGGAAUUCCCAGUGUAGCGGUGAAAUGCGUAGAUAUUAGGAGGAACACCAGUGGCGAAGGCGGCUUGCUGGACAGUAACUGACGUUGAGGCUCGAAAGCGUGGGGAGCAAACAGGAUUAGAUACCCGAGUAUA
rnacentral:rRNA from 1 species